ensembl:lncRNA
UGAAAAUGGACUGAUGGAUGAUUUCGGAGAGGCAAGAUGGGCCAAAGGAUUUAGUUGUACAAGGUACUUGAAAUUAAUAUAGAAAUCCAUGAGUGAGAGAGAGAACAGAACACAGAAGAGGAACACAGACAUCUGGAGUUUUUAAUUUCAUGAGGAUGGUUCUGGGUAAAUGAGUCCUGCCCAAAUGAAUAGAGUCAUAAAAAGAAAUAAAGUUUAAAAGCCCUGGAAUUAAUCAAGUUAUAGACACACUGUGAACAUCAGGAAUGUUUCAUAAAUUGAAUACUGGGAGCUAGGUGUGUGUGUGUGAUAAUCACAGUGGCUGGCUCUAUACUCUCCUGUAAUUUCAGCAGAUGUUAAAUCUCUCUCCAGAGGAGGUGGAUGUUGCUCAUGCUGAACAGCAUCAGAUCUGGAGUCUCUCUCCCUACAGUGUGUCGGAGGUUAAUGUAAAAAUCUAACUCAGCAGCAUGUGAAGUUUGGAGCACCACUGCACCUCACACCACCCUUCACAUCCUAUACAUAUGCUCUGUUAUAAACCUUAGCAGCACUUCAAGCAGUUGUUCGAAAAAGACGGAGCACUGAUAACCAACACACAGUGCUGAGGCUUGCAAAGAGCUGCUCUGCUGAAAGCUAGUAAAAAUCCUCAAAAGACAUCGAACCUGGAAGGGAG